GGGGGACUGGGAGAGGGCCUACUCUUCUUCCCGGAGGUGGAGGCGGCGGAGGAGUGAUGCUUUCCACCGCCCAUGGGGGAGGGAGGCCUCGACCGGCGAUGGUGGCGAGGAGGGAGGACUCAAUCGACGGUGACACAGUGGAGACCGAGAGGGAGAGAAAGAAAUAGGACGGUGUGCGGAGGAGAGGGUGCAAGACGGGAGGGAGA
rnacentral:lncRNA from 1 species